rnacentral:rRNA from 1 species
CAACAAGGCCUUUACUGACGCUAAAGCUCGAAGGUGCGGGUAUCGAACAGGAUUAGAUACCCUGGUAGUCCGCACGGUAAACGAUGGAUGCCCGCUGUUCGCGAUAUAUUGUGAGCGGCCAAGAGAAAUCGUUAAGCAUCCCACCUGGGGAGUACGCCGGCAACGGUGAAACUCAAAGGAAUUGACGGGGGCCCGCACAAGCGGAGGAACAUGUGGUUUAAUUCGAUGAUACGCGAGGAACCUUACCCGGGCUUGAGCUGCAGGAGAAGGAAACAGAGAUGUUGACGCCCUUCGGGGCUCCUGUGGAGGUGCUGCAUGGUUGUCGUCAGCUCGUGCCGUGAGGUGUCGGCUUAAGUGCCAUAACGAGCGCAACCCUUUUCGUCAGUUGCCAUCAGGUGAUGCUGGGCACUCUGGCGACACUGCCACCGUAAGGUGUGAGGAAGGUGGGGAUGACGUCAAAUCAGCACGGCCUUGACGGCCGGGGCUACACACGUGUUACAAUGUGGCAUACAGAAGGCCGGUCGCGCGCAAGAGCGAUCCAAUCUAAAAAGUGUCCCUCAGUUCGGAUUGGGGUCUGCAACCCGACCCCAUGAAGCUGGAU